UAAGACUAGACAGCUAGGCAGCUAAGUGCUAAGGGAAAUUGCAGAGACCUUGGAGUUUGAACUGUGAAAUCAACGAGGAACAUUUCUUCCAGUAGCACUGCAGGUGCUGAGUGGAGGCCUCCACUCAGAAUGGCUGGGUUGGGUCUGAUCCUUCAAGUCUAAGUUGGACUCUGCAAGGGUGGAGAGAUAUCUCUUUUCCACACAAGAGAGAAUAUUAGCAAUAAGGAUGCAAUCCUCCAUCGAAUCAAGUGGUGGCAAAGCAAACUGCCAUCAGUAAGAAGCAACAAGAGAGGGAAAGGAAGCAAACCUCUGGAGAACAAGAUAGUAAGCAGAAUGGACGAGGAACCAGCAUAGACUCUUGAACAGUUGCUCUAAUUUCAAUCAAAACCACAAUCUUUAUUUUAUCUAGCCAAUUGAUUUCCAGCUUUCAUAAUCCCCGUAGAAACACAUCUCUAAUUCCAGAAACUCCACUAGUAACUUCAUCCUUGAACCAUAUAAUUUAAUCGGAUGAGCCUCUAACAUGCAAGGUAUUGUGUGUUGGAAGAACUUAUUAAAAACCCAGCUG